rnacentral:piRNA from 1 species
UACCACAGGGCUGGCUACUGCUGC